rnacentral:rRNA from 1 species
UUCGGUGACUAUAGCGGAGGGGAAACACCUGUUCCCAUCCCGAACACAGAAGUUAAGCCCUCCUGCGCCGAUGGUACUGCUCUGGCAGCGGAGUGGGAGAGUAGGUCGUUGCCGAAA